rnacentral:ncRNA from 1 species
GCAGAGUAGGAUUCCGCGCGUUGCGCGCGUUGCGCGCUGGAGUGCUUUCCGGACGGGGAGUUGCCGGGGAGACGAAGAGCUUUUCGCUCGCGGUGCGGAGUUCGCAUCCCGCUGC